rnacentral:ncRNA from 1 species
UGCUUCAGGUUCCCUCUUUUCGCAGAGGGUGAAACUGGGAAGCCGGUGCGUCUGCCCAGCAGACAAUUCCGGCGCUGCCCCCGCAACGGUAAGCGAUGUUCGCCUCAUGGCGAUGCGCCUGAUGACACCACUGUGCUGUUCAUGCAUGGGAAGGUUCAGGCCGCAGGAUCUAUUGAUCCGCUCGUAAGCCCGGAGACCGGCCUGUCGCGA